GAUGAACGCUGGCGGCGUGCCUAAUACAUGCAAGUCGAGCGAACAGACGAGGAGCUUGCUCCUCUGACGUUAGCGGCGGACGGGUGAGUAACACGUGGAUAACCUUCCUAUAAGACUGGGAUAACUUCGGGAAACCGGAGCUAAUACCGGAUAAUAUAUUGAACCGCAUGGUUCAAUAGUGAAAGACGGUUUUGCUGUCACUUAUAGAUGGAUCCGCGCCGCAUUAGCUAGUUGGUAAGGUAACGGCUUACCAAGGCAACGAUGCGUAGCCGACCUGAGAGGGUGAUCGGCCACACUGGAACUGAGACACGGUCCAGACUCCUACGGGAGGCAGCAGUAGGGAAUCUUCCGCAAUGGGCGAAAGCCUGACGGAGCAACGCCGCGUGAGUGAUGAAGGUCUUCGGAUCGUAAAACUCUGUUAUUAGGGAAGAACAAAUGUGUAAGUAACUAUGCACGUCUUGAUGGUACCUAAUCAGAAAGCCACGGCUAACUACGUG
rnacentral:rRNA from 1 species